ACUCUUAUUAAAUGAAAAAAGAAGCACAGACUGAUGUAAGUCUUCUUCUCCUUACUCGUCUCUCUAUAAAAAAAUUUCCCACUCAAUUUCCUCUCUGUUCGAAUCUCUCAAUUUUAACUGCUCAAAUCACAAAUUGUGACCAAUCUGAUAGCAAAACAAAAGCCCUAAUCAGAAAUCUUGAUUACAUCAGAGUUAUAUGGAUAUAGCUUGUUCUGGGAUUCACAGUACAACAAAGGACUUGCCUUCACUGUGGUGGAGAGAGAUGCUAUCACACGGCCUUCUACCUUCUACCUCCUGGCUCCUAUAGCUCAUUUAAAUUCUGGACAGGUUUACCACUUAACUUGUCUUCACUCAUCGUGUCUUUAUGUUGUUCUCUUGUGUGCUCAGCCCCUCCUUUUGGCUGUUUUGUUGUAGACAACAUCAUGGAUAAAGUUUGUUGGUUGUUUGAGACUUGUAACAUGUUGCCAGAUCAAUCAAACAAAUCAUUAGAGGGGAUAUCAUGUUGGGAUGUAUUCAAACCAACCCCUACCAUGUCAUUGUUUUCCUUCACCUCUUGAAGAGACAGUCCUUCCAUUGGAUUAGGCAAACACCCAAGAAGAACUUGCAAAGGAUUCAUGCUUUCCAGAAUUUUAGCACAAAUUGCAGUAAGAUUAACAGUAGCAGGUGCAAUAGAGUUCCUGGAUACUUAGCACUCAUCCUCAAUUACCAUAAGCUUCCCUUUCUUAUUUUUUGAAUCCUUCUCAAUGUUGGCACGUAUUAACUAAUCCUCAACCAUCAAAACAUCAUUAGCAUUCACAUUAUAAUGUGUAGUAGAUUGUGCACCUACUUCUGAUGUAAUUCACUAGUUCUGCCUACAUUGGCAAACACCUGCCCAGCCUUUUCCUCUUUCCCUUCUGUUACUACCUGCUCCUGUCUAGUUUUAAUGUGCCCAGCAACUACAGGAUUAUCUGUAAUCCUAACUUGAACACACUUAACACCAGGGCCGUUAGCAGCCUGCUUUUCCCACUCUAAAACCUGAGAAAUCUAUUUCCCAGCUGUAGAUUUAGAACCAGCAAUUUCAGCAGCUGGUUGAUAUCUCAACAGAUCACCUGUAGCUUCUGAUUUCUGCUUCUCUUUUGUAAUGUCUGGUGUCUUUGAAUGACUGACUGGUUUUUGAUGUUGCCGCACAUUCAAGCUGUUGCACUCUCUUUCCAGUAUCAUCCAUGACCGGUUCACUCAUCAAAACAUCAAAAGAGUUAGAGGUGCUAACUUCCUUUGGUGUAUUUAUCUGACCUGCGUGAUAUGAAGCAUUCCUUUUAUUUGGAAAUGCAUUUUGUCAAUGCACGACUGACCCGCCUCUCGCUUUUGUAUUAUGUACUGCUUCAUCAUAUGGUCCAACAUAUGUUUAGUUUUCUCGUUCUCCUUUUUAUUUUAUCAUAUUUUCCCCCUUUUGUGCUCUCUAGAACAAAUGCUUUAAGCUCCUAUUUUGGUCAUUGUACACUUAAAAUCAUUUGACAGUAAGUCUACGGGAAUACAAUCUCAUUAAACACUAUUUGACUAUUCAAAGUUA